rnacentral:rRNA from 1 species
GAGACAGCAGUCGCCGCGGGAAUACGUAGGGUGCAAGCGUUAAUCGGAAUUACUGGGCGUAAAGCGUGCGCAGGCGGUUAUAUAAGACAGAUGUGAAAUCCCCGGGCUCAACCUGGGAACUGCAUUUGUGACUGUAUAGCUAGAGUACGGCAGAGGGGGAUGGAAUUCCGCGUGUAGCAGUGAAAUGCGUAGAUAUGCGGAGGAACACCGAUGGCGAAGGCAAUCCCCUGGGCCUGUACUGACGCUCAUGCUCGAAAGCGUGGGGAGCAAACAGGAUUAGAUACCCCUGUAGUCCCUGUCUCUUAUAC